rnacentral:rRNA from 1 species
GACGAACGCUGGCGGCGUGCUUAACACAUGCAAGUCGAACGCGCCUGUCCUCUGGGUUUCUGGGGGGUGGGUGAGUGGCGAACGGGUGAGUAACACGUGAGUAACCUGCCCCCUUCUUCGGGAUAACGGUCUGAAAGGGCUGCUAAUACCGGGUAUUCACUGGUCUCCGCAUGGGGUCUGGUGGAAAGGUUUUUUUCUGGUGGGGGAUGGGCUCGCGGCCUAUCAGCUUGUUGGUGGGGUGAUGGCCCACCAAGGCUUUGACGGGUAGCCGGCCUGAGAGGGUGACCGGUCACAUUGGGACUGGGAUACGGCCCAGACUCCUACGGGAGGCAGCAGUGGGGAAUAUUGCACAAUAGGCGCAAGCCUGAUGCAGCGACGCCGCGUGAGGGAUGGAGGCCUUCGGGUUGUGAACCUCUUUCGCCCGUGGUCAAGCCGCGACGUGGGUCGUGGUGAGGGUAGUGGGUAAAGAAGCGCCGGCUAACUACGUG